rnacentral:rRNA from 1 species
GAUGAACGCUGGCGGCGUGCCUAAUACAUGCAAGUCGAACGAGGUGCUUUUGUAGCAAUACGAGAGUAUCCUAGUGGCGAACGGGUGAGUAACGCGUUGGUGACCUGCCCCAAAGUGCGGGAUAACAGUCCGAAAGGAUUGCUAAUACCGCAUGUGGUUAUCGGGUUUAGAAACCGAUAACUAAAGAAGCAAUUCGCUUUGGGAGGGACCUGCGUCCCAUCAGCUAGUUGGUGAGGUAACGGCUCACCAAGGCGACGACGGGUAGGGGACCUGAGGAGGUGACCCCCCACAAUGGAACUGAAACACGGUCCAUACGCCUACGGGUGGCAGCAGUAGGGAAUAUUGCACAAUGGGCGAAAGCCUGAUGCAGCAACGCCGCGUGUGCGAUGAAGGCCUUCGGGUCGUAAAGCACUUUUCUGCGAGAUGAGAAAGGACAGUAUCGUAGGAAUAAGUCUCGGCUAACUACGUGCCAGCCGCCGCAGUAACAC